rnacentral:rRNA from 1 species
UACAGAGGGGGCAAGCGUUAUUCGGAAUUAUUGGGCGUAAAGGGCGCGUAGGCGGCUUGGCAAGUGGAUGGUGAAAUCCCUCGGCUUAACCGAGGAACUGCCGUCCAAACUGCUUCGCUUGAGACCGGGAGAGGUGAGUGGAAUUCCCAGUGUAGCGGUGAAAUGCGUAGAUAUUGGGAGGAACACCAGUGGCGAAGGCGGCUCACUGGACCGGUACUGACGCUGAUGCGCGAAAGCGCGGGGAGCAAACGGG